AUUUAUUUUUUAUUCUCCUAUGUUAUUUCUUGGAACGUGAUUUUUUUUUUAUUCUAUAACGGGCGAUUCUUUGACCCUAUAUGCCAUGGUUCGUUUGUAUACGUUUUUCUACGAUAAUGACGACUAUGGUGAUGUUCCCCCAUGAGCAACAACAACAACACAUCGCCACAGCCAUCUUAACCCGGAACUAGAUGGUCCUUGCCAUGGAGAUGGUUCGCGUUUGAAUUAAAUCCCCUCUGCCUUUCGAAGGACUCACAGUUGUUCUCCUGGCGAGACGUCGCUGCGACGGACACGAGAGUUCCAUGCCGGUCGACAGUUGUCAGGCGGACUACGGCGACGGCGACGGCGACCGUGGCGCGUCCCUGUCUCCGCUGUCUUCCCGGCUGACGACCAAGGCCUUGAUCUGCCUGCUUGUGCCCUUCUGCAUGGUGCUUGCCGUGGCGGUCGUCAUCGGCGCCUUAAUUUCCUUGACAAGCCGCUGACGGUCUCGGACCGCAGGCCGGCACGUGUGCCUCUGGUGUUCGUCGACUCAGUGAGAAACAUGGCGGCGCUCUACGGGACGUGCGGAGUGGACGACGCCUUCUCCCGUGGCGUCAGUGAGCUACCACAAGGCUGUUCAUCACGCCGCUCUUGUCGCCGUGGCCAGAGGUGCUGGAAGAGUUGCCAAACUGACAUGCGUGUGGGAUGGCGAGCGUAACAACAAUGAACAACGCGAAAAAGAAUCCCUAGGCCCCUUAUUGUGUUGUCGCUGAAGGGAAUCUACAGCACUUUAGCGCAUGGAUUUACGAAUGAGCUCCUUUCGUUUCUGUCCGCGUGUACAGGGACGACCCAUGUCUAGCGGACCUGAAAGUGCAUAGUCACGGUAGUUCUCUAAUGAAUCACAGACCCUAAAUUUGGCCGUUA